GUCCGACUGAACGUCUGUCCGGCUGGCUGAGGUCUGGGGCCACAGUGGGGAGUGUCCAGGCCGGGGUCCCCACCCCCUGGAGGCCCUGCGAAAGCCCUUUCCACAGUGCCCGAACUGGUAGCAGAUGCUGGAUCCUUUUUCUAUUGCUGUUAUAACAAAUCAGUGCAAAAUUCACGGCUUAAAACAAUGCACUUGCCAAGCACCACGGUGCACACCUGUAAUCCCAGCUAUUUGGAAGGCUGAUGCAGGAUGACUGCAAGUUCAAGGCCAGCCAGGCAACUUAGAGAGACUCUCUCUCAAACUAACAACGAAAAGGGCCCGAGAGGCAGCUCCUGGAUAGUGCUGUUGCCUCGCAUGUGCGAAGCCCUGUGUUCGAUGCCCAGUACCACAACGCACAAACAAAACACGCAGGUGUCGCCUUGCGGGUCUGUAGUAGGAGGCCAGCAGGCUCAGCCGUUUCCCCGCUCUGGCUGCCGUCAGCCAAGUUCAGCGUCUCGCUGCUGGGCUCUGUCUGGAGGUGCUGGGGGAUCUGCUCCAAGCCCGUCCGGGCACUGGCAGAAUCCAGUGCAGGCCACUGGACAGCUGAGCGCCUGCUUCCUCCAGCUGCAAGCUCGCUGCCCCUGGACUCUAAAGCUGGCCCAGCCUCUCUGACCCGCCUGAUGCAGCGUCUCUGCUGAGCCCGGACGGGAAAAUAGCUCUGCCUUCCCGGGGUUAGGGAUUAGAUAGCGGCCUCCGGUAAUCCAGGAUGGCCCGCCUACUUUACGGUCCAUCACGAUGAUGACGUCUGCCAAGUUCUUUGCCAUGUGACACAGUGUCUCCGGGUGUCACAGCAAGGCAGAGAGGCCGGACCGGAGUCCUGUCCACUGACGGCGCACACGGGGUCAGUUUAGCCGUAGCCCAGCCAUGUGGCACAUAGACGAUGACCCUGCCUGCCUCCUGGUUUGCUUUUCCUAGAGUUGGGAGUUGCCUUCUGCUCACAUCUUGUUUCCUUCGUGCCUGUCACACGUCACAGCCAUGAUGACCUUGUCAUGUGGCUACCUCACGUGACAGACCUGCCCAUCUCACCAGCGCCUGGGCCGAGGCGUGGCCUCCGAUCAGCCUGAAGGCUCCGGCCAGGACUCCCUGAGGCCUAACUCACGGCCAGGACUCCCUGAGGCCUAACUCACGCUGAGGGUCACAGGCGCACCCAUGCGCACCCAUACUGGAAAGUGAGUGUUGGGGAAGUGUUUCUCCCGGUGGGAGGAGGCCCAAGGGGCCCGAUGCCAGCGAUCCUGAACAGGACAAGCUGCUGACCGAAGCUGGGGGUGGCACAGCACGCAGCCCAGCACGUUUAAGCAUGUUUCUUGCGAUUUUGUGUGCAAGAAUCCUCCAAGUGGACCUCAAGGGCCAUCCGCAGGGACAGGACAAAGCAACGGGACUCUAAAGUACAACAGAGCUGUGCUCCCCGCACAGCGGCCACAGCCUCGUGUCCACAGGUAGCUAUUACAUUAAUGACAAUUAAAUAAAACAGAAAAUUCAGUCUCUUAGCCACACUAGGCGCCCUCAAGCUUUCAGAAGCCCAUGCGGCUGGCGGCCGCGGCACGGACCGGAGCAGAUCCGGGGUACCUCCAUCGGCGUGGAGUUCCCACCAGGCGGUGAGGCUCCAGCCGCUGACGAGGAGGGCUGCGCGAGCAGGCUGGUCACCAGGCCACAGGUGCGGAGAACGCUGCUGUGUAAAGGGUCCCUGCUGCUGACAUCUCCCAGCCCACCUGCUGCGUCUCCCAUGCACAAACCCAGGCCAGGUGCGGCCCACACCAUGGGCCGGAGGGGCUGGGCUCAGGCUCGGAGGGCCACACCAGCCAGCCAGCUGCGUCUGUGUUGGCAGGAGCUCAGGACAGGACAGGACUGUCCCCCUUCUUGUCCAUGGUGCCCCCGCUCAGGACACAUUCUGCUGUCAGGUUGAAAGACUUUUCCAGUGCCUCAUGUGACGCUGCCUCGGGCCCAACCCUGGAGAGGCCGCCCUACACCGUCACUUCUCCUCAUUCGCUCAUUCGUUCAUCAGGAACCCUGAGCUGACCGCUCCCAGCCCUGGGCCGGGUGUCGUCCUGGAGCCCACCUGGCAGAGGAGGACCGCGUGGGGGCAACCUGUGAUCCUCCCAACGGACGCUAAGAAGGGUUGGUCACGCCUCUGUCUACUCCUCAUGUUUAAAAGUCAAAGUACAGUGAGAGUAGAAGGGGGCGUCCUAACACAAUGGAGAACUUUAAAGUUAUGAUAACUCAUCAACAGAGGACCGGGAGGUAAAUCAGCACAGUCACCCGACAAGAUACCCCGUAACCCCAAGAAGAGUUGGCACCAACAGGAAGAGAAGGCCUACGAUGUCUUACUCAGUGAAACAAGCAGCAGAAGAUUGAGCUAAUUUAAAAAUUCCUAACAAAUUAAAAAUUCAGAACCAAA